GAUGAACGCUGGCGGCGUGCCUAAUACAUGCAAGUCGAGCGAACAGACGAUGAUCUUGCUCCUCUGACGUUAGCGGCGGACGGGUGAAUCACACGUGUAUAACCUACCUAUAAUACUGGUAUAACUUCGGAAAACCGGCGCUAAUACCGGAUAAUAUAUUGCACCGCAUUGUUCAAUGGUGAAAUACGGUUUUUGUGUCUCUUCUCGAUGCAUCCCCGCCGCAUUAGCUAGUUGGUAAGGUAACGGCUUACCAAGGCAACGAUGCGUAGCCGAACUGAGAGGGUGAUAGGCCACACUGGAACGGAGACACGGACAAGACGACUACGGGAGGCAGCAGUAGGGAAUCUUCCGCAAUGGGCGAAAGCAUGACGGAGCAACGCCGAGUGAGUGAUGAAGGUCCUCGGAUCGUAAAGAUCUGUUAUUAGGGAAGAACAAAUGUGUAAGUAACUAUGCACGUAUUGACGGUAACUAAUAAGAAAGCAACGGCUAACUACGUG
rnacentral:rRNA from 1 species